rnacentral:lncRNA from 1 species
GCGGCGCCCCAAGGCCCCUCAGACCCCGCGUUGCCAGCCACCCUCUUGAGUCCAGCCUCCUCGUGCCACCGGCAGGUGAAAUUGUUUCAGUUUUCUGUGCUCCGUGGGUUUCUAAGUCCUUGCCCACGCACUUGGUGCUGCCACCGGCCGACCCCCGGGAGAACAACCCCGCUGCGGGUAUGGAGUUCUCUCCGCGCCCGGGCGAGGUCUCCCCGCUCCAGAGAUCACGGCAGGAUGUGCCUUGCUGUGAGCAGGACAAAUUCCAAACGCAACUCCUAGAAAUGGAAACGCCAUAUGCCCGUCCGCGCUGUCAGCCACCCACGUGAUUUCUGGGGUUCAGAAAGCGUGAGACUGGAAGUGAGCACUGGACUUCGUCUUACCCCUUGCCCUCAGACUCCAGGGUCCGCCUGGGCAGUGCCGGCAGGUGCUAAGAGAAGUCCAGCCAUAAUGCGAUUGGAGCCAGGAAGGAAGGAAGGGUGAUGCAUGGUUGUAUUUGAGGAGGAACAAGCUGCCAUGGCCUGGACCUCCUCAUUGACCCGGGUCGUCGUGUGAGACAGGAAGUGGAGCAGGCUCCCCGAGGCCGGAGCCCCGGCGGACGCCGGACAGAGCGUCACCCGUUCCGGGAGGACCGAGCGUUUCUCCUGGAGGCGGCGGCCGCCCAGCGCGCGAUCUGUCGGACUGCAGCCAGCGAGGCCCCAGCGUCAUCAGAGACCGCGGCCCCGGGAGACCAGCCGCAGAACUGGGAGCGCCGGUCUCUGGGCCACAGAGCAAGGGCUCAACAGAUGUUUGGCCCGGUAGAGGGAAGAUUCCGGAAGAGGUGACGUGGGCUGGUGGGAGUCCCAGUUGCCUUGGAAAAGGAGGAAGUGACUUUCCGUGCCCAUGAGAAGGAUACC